UCCCGCGUAGCUCAGUUGGUUAGAGCGUCGUGCUUAUAACGCGAAUGUCGGCGGUUCGACCCCGCCCGCGGGAG